rnacentral:rRNA from 1 species
GCCUGAUCAGCCAUACCGCGUGGGUGAAGAAGGCCUUCGGGUUGUAAAGCCCUUUUGUUGGGAAAGAAAAGCAUUCGGUUAAUACCCGGGUGUUCUGACGGUACCCAAAGAAUAAGCACCGGCUAACUUCGUGCCAGCAGCCGCGGUAAUACGAAGGGUGCAAGCGUUACUCGGAAUUACUGGGCGUAAAGCGUGCGUAGGUGGUUGUUUAAGUCCGUUGUGAAAGCCCUGGGCUCAACCUGGGAAUUGCAGUGGAUACUGGGCAACUAGAGUGUGGUAGAGGAUAGUGGAAUUUCCGGUGUAGCAGUGAAAUGCGUAGAGAUCGGAAGGAACAUCUGUGGCGAAGGCGACUAUCUGGGCCAACACUGACACUGAGGCACGAAAGCGUGGGGAGCAAACAGGAUUAGAUACCCUGGUAGUCCACGCCCUAAACGAUGCGAACUGGAUGUUGGGUUCAACUUGGAACCCAGUAUCGAAGCUAACGCGUUAAGUUCGCCGCCUGGGGAGUACGGUCGCAAGACUGAAACUCAAAGGAAUUGACGGGGGCCCGCACAAGCGGUGGAGUAUGUGGUUUAAUUCGAUGCAACGCGAAGAACCUUACCUGGUCUUGACAUCCACGGAACUUUCUAGAGAU